UACGUAGGGUGCGAGCGUUGUCCGGAAUUAUUGGGCGUAAAGGGCUCGUAGGCGGUUUGUCGCGUCGGGAGUGAAAACACUGGGCUUAACUCAGUGCUUGCUUCCGAUACGGGCAGACUAGAGGUAUGCAGGGGAGAACGGAAUUCCUGGUGUAGCGGUGAAAUGCGCAGAUAUCAGGAGGAACACCGGUGGCGAAGGCGGGUCUCUGGGCAGUAACUGACGCUGAGGAGCGAAAGCGUGGGGAGCGAACAGG
rnacentral:rRNA from 1 species